UUCCGGUUGAUCCUGCCGGAGGUCAUUGCUAUUGGAGUCCGAUUUAGCCAUGCUAGUUGCACGAGUUUGUACUCGUAGCAGAUAGCUCAGUAACACGUGGCCAAACUACCCUAUGGAUCCGGAUAACCUCGGGAAACUGAGGCUAAUCCGGAAUACGACUCUCAGCCUGGAAGUGGCGAGAGUCAGAAACGCUCCGGCGCCAUAGGAUGUGGCUGCGGCCGAUUAGGUAGACGGUGGGGUAACGGCCCACCGUGCCCAUAAUCGGUACGGGUUGUGAGAGCAAGAGCCCGGAGACGGUAUCUGAGACAAGAUACCGGGCCCUACGGGGCGCAGCAGGCGCGAAACCUUUACACUGCACGAAAGUGCGAUAAGGGGACUCCAAGUGCGAGGGCAUAUAGUCCUCGCUUUUCACCACCGUAAGGAGGUGGUAGAAUAAGUGCUGGGCAAGACCGGUGCCAGCCGCCGCGGUAAUACCGGCAGCACAAGUGAUGACCGCUCUUAUUGGGCCUAAAGCGUCCGUAGCUGGCCACGCAAGUCUAUCGGGAAAUCCGCGCGCUCAACGCGCGGGCGUCCGGUGGAAACUGUGUGGCUUGGGACCGGAAGACCAGAGGGGUACGUCCGGGGUAGGAGUGAAAUCCCGUAAUCCUGGACGGACCACCGGUGGCGAAAGCGCCUCUGGAAGACGGAUCCGACGGUGAGGGACGAAAGCUCGGGUCACGAACCGGAUUAGAUACCCGGGUAGUCCGAGCUGUAAACGAUGUCUGCUAGGUGUGCCACAGGCUACGAGCCUGUGGUGUGCCGUAGGGAAGCCGUGAAGCAGACCGCCUGGGAAGUACGUCCGCAAGGAUGAAACUUAAAGGAAUUGGCGGGGGAGCACUACAACCGGAGGAGCCUGCGGUUUAAUUGGAUUCAACGCCGGA
rnacentral:rRNA from 1 species